ensembl:lncRNA
CUCAGGGACUGGGUCAAGCGCGUCCUGCGGUAAGUGGCGCAGCUGGGACCCAAACCCAGGCAGGGCGGCUCCAAGCCUGCCCUCUCCCCAUCGCUGCGCCGCUGCUUCCGGCCCUGCCCCGGGUAGUGCCGGACUUAUCUGUGACGUUGCUGGUCGCGGUGACCUGUCAGGGCACCCAGCACCAGGCAGGGCCUUGGUAGGAGCUUGAUAUUUAUUGGUUGAAUGAAUGAAUGAAUAAAUGAAUGGAAACAAUUUUUGUUCCUUUAGGUGAUCAAAAUAUCCACCUCAUCCUAAGUUCCCCUUUCAUGGAAUGAAGAAAUAUGAGGCUGGAGGUAGUCCUAUCCCUUGAUCCGGCCCAUAGCCCGGGGCACUGAGAGAUGAUGGACGCUCAGAGGGCAGAGCUCUUCUCCUCCUCCGUGCCUGGAACCCUUUUGGAUUUCUGGGAAUCUCCUUUGAGACCACAGCUGUUCUAGGAUGAGGCAACCUAUGAGAACUGUUGGCUGCUGACCUCGUCAUUGUUGGCUGCCAGUAGGGGAUUGAUGAGAGAGCUCAAGGCGCAGUUGUUCAACGGGAUGACGAUGGUGCCAUUACAAAGCUGAGGAACCUCCAGAUAAGCUCCGAUCAGGAAGAGUCUUCAAGAUACAGUAAGUGGGAAAAAGCAGAACAGUGUUGAGAGUAUGCGCUCAUCGUUAUAGAAACAGUAUUAUGCAUAUAGAAACAUAAAAUAUCUCUAGAAGGAGCCACAGGAAGCAUAACAGCUUGCGCCUGCGGAGGGGAGCUGGUGGUCCAGGAUCAGGGUUGGGGAAAGGGACGCCCAUGUUGGCUGCAAACCCAUCUACACCUUGAAUGAAAACAUUAUUUGCAUGCAUGUAUUCCCUAAACGAAAGCAUAAAUUAAAAAAUAAAGAAAAAGAAAGCACAGCCACGCUUAGGUCAGCACACAGCAGAAUGUCCAACAUGCUGGCAGAAGCACCUGCUCGUCCCAACAUAGAAACACCACCAGCAGGCGCACACGUGUGCUGGCAUUUACAGGGGCUCAGCUCUGGCCCUCCCCGAGGCCUGCAGGUGGCCGAGGGGCUGGGGCGGUGGUGCGGGGCGCUGGGGCAGCCCGGAGUAGUGGCAGCUCCGUGCUCUCCUCUUUAAUUCCCUCUGGCUGAAAUGCCAAUUUUCUGCUAGGCUAGCCUGGCUGCUGCGGAAUCACUUCUGUUAACAAACUGCACUGGAGAGCAGAGCAAUUAGGCAAUUAAACGGUUUUAAAUUGAAUUUAGAGCCUUGAUAUUUCUCUGGGAGGGCGGCCUCUUGGCCUCACCUCUGCCCUGAGCGGGGCAUGGGAGGGCUGAGGGGUUAAAGGGCCGGGGCUGGUGACGGGGCCAGGGCGGGGGCUGCUCAGGGUAGGCUCUGGAGGUGGGCCCGUGGACCUCCGGCCCGUGGGCAGGCAGCCCCUCCUGGCGGCCCAGCCAUGCAGAGACUGUGGGUUCUGCGGUUGUUCACCCUUCCUGAGCACCCUUACUGAGCACCCAUAUUGUGCAGGCACUGUUCGAGGCCCUGAGAUCCAGGUGAACGCAGGAGACAGGUCCUUGCCCUCCAGAGCUCAUAUUCUACUAGGGGAGGCAGGUAAUAAAUAAAGCAACAAAUAAGCAAGAUGACUCUAGAAUGAAAUGGGAAGAUGGGAGAGCGGACAGAUGGGGAGCUGUGUUAGCUAGAGCAGUCAGUGAAGGCUUCUCCAAGGAGGUCACACUCCUGCUAAGAAACUGAGGAUGGGAAGAUGCAGACAGUAAGAGCUUUCCAGAUAGCGCAAACAGUAAGUGCAAAGGCCCUGAGGUAUGCUCAGUCUGAGCUAAUUUGGGCAAGACUAAAGUUUAAUAUGGCCAAAGCACGGAGUAAAGAGCAGAGUCAGGAGAGACUGGCUGGGGUCUCGCUUGUGCUGUCACUGUUCCUGUGAAGCUCACAGCAGUCUCGUGGAAAGGGAUGUGUUGCCACACAGAGGGAGAGGGACUUGCCUGAGUCAUCCAGCAGGGGUGACCAGGACUGCUCAGCCUGAAGAACAGCCCCAGGCACCCUGGGCUUCCUGUGCUCACGUGGCUUUCCUUGGCAGAGGGAGCAGGUGGCCCUGAGGGCAGAGCCAGGGGCAGGGAGGCGCUCUAGCUGGGUGAGGAGGAGCUUCUGUGGGAACCAUCUGGCCAUGGCAUGCCCUCUCUGGAAGGUGGUGAGCCUCCUGUCCUAGGAGGGUUUUAUAGAGGGAGCUCCAGCGUUGAGCAGGGUGCAACCACAUCAGUGUUUUCCAGCUGCUGACCCGGGGGUGUCUUGGGGACCUGAUGGGCAGUGUGCCUCCUUGUGCGCGCUGCUGGGCAGAGCACUCACCUCCCUUGGCCUCAGUUUCCUCAGCUGUAGAAUGGAGAUAACACUAGCCCUCGCUGGGGCCGUUCAAGGAGUUCCCAUGUGCCCACCCUCAGCGCAGAGCGCAGCCGGCGUGCCUGAGCCCGGAGCUGUUGUCUCAGUCUAACAGCCCAUGGGUUCUCGUCCGUUUUCUUUUUGAUCUCUUUUUCUUUUGAUUUGAAAACUUCAAAACAUGUAUAUGGUCAAGAAAAUAAAUAAAAAAUAAUCCAACUGCCCAAGAGAUCAACACGGAAGGAGGAGUCUCCCUCCACCCCGGGCCGAUUCCUCCCAGAGGCCACUGCGGGCAGCACUUUCCUGGGGGGCCCUUCCAGAGACACCCCACACACCAGGAAGCGCCUGUCCCCCACGGCUGGUGGCGUCCCAGCCACGCUCUUCUGCCUCUGGCCUCUUUCCCGCACUCCUCAUCAAAGCCACAUCCACGGAU